CGGCAGCUUACCAUGCAGUCGAGCGCACCUUCGGGUGAGCGGCGGACGGGUUAGUAACGCGUGGGUAUAUGCCCUUCUCUACGGAAUAGCCUCGGGAAACUGAGAGUAAUACCGUAUACGCCCUUCGGGGGAAAGAUUUAUCGGAGAAGAUUAGCCCGCGUUGGAUUAGGUAGUUGGUGGGGUAAUGGGCCCACCAAGCCGACGAUCCAUAGCUGGGUUUGAGAGGAUGAUCAGCAACACUGGGACUGAGACACGGCCCAGACUCCUACGGGGAGGCAGCAGUGGGGAAUAUUGGACAAUGGGGCGCAAGCCUGAUCCAGCCAUUACCUCGUGUGUGAAGAAGGCCUUAGGGUUGUAAAGCACUUUCAUUUGGGACGAAAAGUUCAAAGUUAUACCUUUUGGACCUUGACGUACCUUUAGAAGAAGCGCGGCUAACUCCGUGCCCCCACCGCGGUAAUACGGAGGGUGCAGCGUUAAUCGGAUUACUGGGCUAAAGCGCGCGUAGUGGUUGGUAGUCAGAUGUGAAGCCCGGGCUCACUGGGACUGCUUUGAUACUGCCUAACUGAGUAUGGAGAGGGAAGUGAAUUCCACAUGUAGCGUGAAAUGCGUAGAGAUGUGAAGAACACCAGUGCAAGGGAUUCCUGGACCAUACUGAAGUGAGGUGCGAAGCGUGG
rnacentral:rRNA from 1 species